CAGCCGCCACGGGAAUACGAGGGGGGCAAGCGUUGUUCGGAAUUAUUGGGCGUAAAGGGUGCGUAGGCGGUCUGAUAAGUCUUAUGUGAAAUCUAUGGGCUCAACCCAUAGUCUGCAUAGGAAACUGUCAGGCUUGAGGAUGGGAGAGGUGAGUGGAAUUUCCGGUGUAGCGGUGAAAUGCGUAGAUAUCGGAAGGAACACCUGUGGCGAAAGCGGCUCACUGGACCAUUACUGACGCUGAUGCACGAAAGCUAGGGGAGCAAACAGGAUUAGAUACCCCCGUAGUCCCUGUCUCUUAUAC
rnacentral:rRNA from 1 species